UAUCGCCUACAGUCUAUGGCAGCGACCCAUUAGUAUGUUUAACAAAAACCAGAAAUCAUUGGCGGACUGGAAUAAUGACUGAAGAAGUAGGCACAGUCAGCUUGGAAUAUCACAUCUAUGGACGUUCAGAAAGCCCAGCGGCAACAAUCAGCAUGCUGGUGCCAGAUGUUUGCAAGGGAGUGGACUCUUGGUUAUCUGAAUGCCUCAAAGGUUUUCAGCAGCUGGCUGAUCAGGAAUGGGAGGAGGGUUCCUACAUCCUCCUCUGCUCCUGGGUGGAUGACUGAGACAAAAAUUUGAAAGUCCUCCAAUGUGACCUACAGGAACAGAGAGAGAAGACGAGUAUGUGUUUGUAUGUGACAAAUACAAAAGUGUUGAUUA